GGGCGGGUGAAAGGUUUUUUAUGCUUAUCAAUGGUUCAGAUCAAAUCUGACAUGAGAUCUGACGGCCAGCAUCAUUUCUGACUUUGAAUAGAAUUUUUGGGCAUGAUCCGACCCCCCAAAUUCCAUCCAUUGCUCGAUCCAACGAUUGCUGUUCGUCUCGACUUUGUUAAGAAAAAAAUUUGCACCAUUUGAUGGCCAGAAUAUAAUCUGGAGUAUGAUCGGACGGCUAAGAAUGAAUCCGACCCUGAUAAGGAAAAAACAGCUUGUUUUUUAUCAGAUUUGGGUGGUCCAAAUGCAAU
rnacentral:lncRNA from 1 species